rnacentral:rRNA from 1 species
CCUACGGGCGGCAGCAGUGGGGAAUAUUGGACAAUGGACGGAAGCCUGAUGCAGCAAUGCCGCGUGCGUGAAGACGGCUCUCGGAGUGUUAAACUGUUUUUGUAGAGAGGUAAACCUGAAUACGUGACUUUAGCUGAAAGUACGGUAAGAAUCAAGAUCGGCUCACGUCGUGCCAGCAGCCGCGGUAAUACGGAGGAUCCAAGCGUUAUCCGGAUUUAUUGGGUUUAAAGGGUGCGUAGGCGGAUCGAUAAGUUAGAGGUGAAAUGUCCGAGCUUAACUCGAGAACUGCAUCGGAUACUGUUGAACUAGAGUGUAGAUGCGGUCGGCGGAAUGUAUGGUGGAGCGGUGAAAUGCGUAGAGAUCAGACAGAACACCGGUGGCGAAGGCAGCUUACCAGUCUAUAUCUGACGUUGAGGCACGAAAGCGUGGGGAGCAAACAGGAUUAGAUACCCCGGUAGUC